rnacentral:tRNA from 1 species
GGGGUCGUAGCUCAGUUGGGAGAGCGCCUGCCUUGCACGCAGGAGGUCAGGAGUUCGAUUCUCCUCGGCUCCACCA